rfam:Escherichia vulneris NBRC 102420 DNA, contig: EV10242023.
AUCCGCUGGUGGCACUCCUCCUGAAAACGGGCGGUGAGCGAGCGUUUGCCUCAAGCAGACAGAUACCCCGGCCCGCCAACUGAGCGGGCUUUUUUUU